CGGCCACAAGUUAAAGAUUGGCGAUCCGUUGGAUACCGACCGAGUUAUAGGCAAAAUUGCUGCAAAAAUGAGGAAAAUUUUACAUUUUCUCAAACAGGGUAAGGAACUUGGUUCCUCGAAUAACUUCUGGCACAGACAUCUGAGGGCAUGGCCGUUCAAGAAGAAAAUGUAGCCAUUGGUGCCAUCUAUCGACCACAGGUUAAAGAUUGGCGAUCCGUUGGAUACCGACCGAGUUAUAGGCAAAAUUUGGUGCAAAAAUGAGCCUAAUGAAAUUUUCAAAUUUUUAUAUUUUUUUAAAUUUUUUCUGAUUUUUUACUCUUUUUUUAAUUUAAAGCAUUAUUUGAGUGAAAAGAAACUCAUUGCAACCUAUUGGCAUUGAAAUAAAUCAAUUUAAUUUUUUUUGCAAAAUUUCUCAAAAAAAUGGCAAGGGGUACCCCUUAUGAAAUUUUCGAGUUGAAAAUUUUUUAAAAUUUUUUUUCUGAUUUUUUAUACUUUUUUUUAAUUUAAAGCAUUAUUUAAGUGAAAAGAAACUUAUUGCAACAAAAUUCGCAUUAAAAUAUAUCAUAUUUAUAAAUUUUGCUAAAUUACUCAAAAAUGAAGAAAAUUUUACAUUUUCUCAAACAGGGUAGGGAACUUGGUUUCUCGAAUAACUUCUGGCACAGACAUCUGAGGGCAUGGCCGUCCAAGAAGAAAAUGUAGACAUUGGUGCCAUCUAUCGACCACAAUUUAAAGAUUGGCGAUCCGUAGGAUACCGACCGAGUUAUAGGCAAAAGUUGCUGCAAAAAUGAGGAAAAUUUUACAUUUUCUCAAACAGGGUAAGGAACUUGGUUCCUCGAAUAACUUCUGGCACAGACAUCUGAGGGCAUGGCCGUUCAAGAAGAAAAUGUAGCCAUUGGUGCCAUCUAUCGACCACAGGUUAAAGAUUGGCGAUCCGUUGGAUACCGACCGAGUUAUAGGCAAAAUUUGGUGCAAAAAUGAGCCUAAUGAAAUUUUCAAAUUUUUAUAUUUUUUUAAAUUUUUUCUGAUUUUUUACUCUUUUUUUAAUUUAAAGCAUUAUUUGAGUGAAAAGAAACUCAUUGCAACCUAUUGGCAUUGAAAUAAAUCAAUUUAAUUUUUUUUGCAAAAUUUCUCAAAAAAAUGGCAAGGGGUACCCCUUAUGAAAUUUUCGAGUUGAAAAUUUUUUAAAAUUUUUUUUCUGAUUUUUUAUACUUUUUUUAAUUUAAAGCAUUAUUUAAGUGAAAAGAAACUUAUUGCAACAAAAUUCGCAUUAAAAUAUAUCAUAUUUAUAAAUUUUGCUAAAUUACUCAAAAAUGAAGAAAAUUUUACAUUUUCUCAAACAGGGUAGGGAACUUGGUUUCUCGAAUAACUUCUGGCACAGACAUCUGAGGGCAUGGCCGUCCAAGAAGAAAAUGUAGCCAUUGGUGCCAUCUAUCGAUCACAGGUUAAAGAUUGGCGAUCCGUUGGAUACCGACCGAGUUAUAGGCAAAAUUUGGUGCAAAAAUGAGGAAAAUUUUACAUUUUCUCAAACAGGGUAAGGAACUUGGUUCCUCGGAUAACUUCUGGCACAGACAUCUGAGGGCAUGGCCGUCCAAGAAGAAAAUGUAGCCAUUGGGGCCAUCUAUCGGCCACAAGUUAAAGAUUGGCGAUCCGUUGGAUACCGACCGAGUUAUAGGCAAAAUUUGGUGCAAAAAUGAGGAAAAUUUUACAUUUUCUCAAACAGGGUAAGGAACUUGGUUCCUCGGAUAACUUCUGGCACAGACAUCUGAGGGCAUGGCCGUCCAAGAAGAAAAUGUAGCCAUUGGGGCCAUCUAUCGGCCACAAGUUAAAGAUUGGCGAUCCGUAGGAUACCGACCGAGUUAUAGGCAAAAGUUGGUGCAAAAAUGAGCCUAAUGAAAUUUUCAAAUUUUUAUAUUUUUUUAAAUUUUUUCUGAUUUUUUACUCUUUUUUUAAUUUAAAGCAUUACUUGAGUGAAAAGAAACUCAUUGCAACCUAUUGGCAUUAAAAUAAAACAAUUUAAUUUUUUUUGCAAAAUUUCUCAAAAAAAUGGCAAGGGGUACCCCUUAUGAAAUUUUCGAGUUGAAAAUUUUUUAAAAUUUUUUUUCUGAUUUUUUAUACUUUUUUUAAUUUAAAGCAUUAUUUAAGUGAAAAGAAACUUAUUGCAACAAAAUUUGCAUUAAAAUAUAUCAUAUUUAUAAAUUUUGCUAAAUUACUCAAAAAUGAAGAAAAUUUUACAUUUUCUCAAACAGGGUAGGGAACUUGGUUUCUCGAAUAACUUCUGGCACAGACAUCUGAGGGCAUGGCCGUCCAAGAAGAAAAUGUAGCCAUUGGUGCCAUCUAUCGACCACAGGUUAAAGAUUGGCGAUCCGUUGGAUACCGACCGACUUAUAGGCAAAAUUUGGUGCAAAAAUGAGGAAAAUUUUACAUUUUCUCAAACAGGGUAGGGAACUUGGUUCCUCGAAUAACUUCUGGCACAGACAUCUGAGGGCAUGGCCGUCCAAGAAGAAAAUGUAGCCGUUGAUGCCAUCUAUCGGCCACAAUUUAAAGAUUGGCGAUCCGUUGGAUACCGACCGAGUUAUAGGCAAAAUUUGGUGCAAAAAUGAGGUAAAUUUUACAUUUUCUCAAACAGGGUAAGGAACUUGGUUCCUCGGAUAACUUCUGGCACAGACAUCUGAGGGCAUGGCCGUCCAAGAAGAAAAUGUAGCCAUUGGGGCCAUCUAUCGGCCACAGGUUAAAGAUUGGCGAUCCGUUGGAUACCGACCGAGUUAUAGGCAAAAUUUGGUGCAAAAAUGAGGAAAAUUUUACAUUUUCUCAAACAGGGUAAGGAACUUGGUUCCUCGGAUAACUUCUGGCACAGACAUCUGAGGGCAUGGCCGUCCAAGAAGAAAAUGUAGCCAUUGGGGCCAUCUAUCGGCCACAAGUUAAAGAUUGGCGAUCCGUAGGAUACCGACCGAGUUAUAGGCAAAAGUUGGUGCAAAAAUGAGCCUAAUGAAAUUUUCAAAUUUUUAUAUUUUUUUAAAUUUUUUCUGAUUUUUUACUCUUUUUUUAAUUUAAAGCAUUACUUGAGUGAAAAGAAACUCAUUGCAACCUAUUGGCAUUAAAAUAAAACAAUUUAAUUUUUUUUGCAAAAUUUCUCAAAAAAAUGGCAAGGGGUACCCCUUAUGAAAUUUUCGAGUUGAAAAUUUUUUAAAAUUUUUUUUCUGAUUUUUUAUACUUUUUUUAAUUUAAAGCAUUAUUUAAGUGAAAAGAAACUUAUUGCAACAAAAUUUGCAUUAAAAUAUAUCAUAUUUAUAAAUUUUGCUAAAUUACUCAAAAAUGAAGAAAAUUUUACAUUUUCUCAAACAGGGUAGGGAACUUGGUUUCUCGAAUAACUUCUGGCACAGACAUCUGAGGGCAUGGCCGUCCAAGAAGAAAAUGUAGCCAUUGGUGCCAUCUAUCGACCACAGGUUAAAGAUUGGCGAUCCGUUGGAUACCGACCGAGUUAUAGGCAAAAUUUGGUGCAAAAAUGAGGAAAAUUUUACAUUUUCUCAAACAGGGUAGGGAACUUGGUUCCUCGAAUAACUUCUGGCACAGACAUCUGAGGGCAUGGCCGUCCAAGAAGAAAAUGUAGCCGUUGAUGCCAUCUAUCGGCCACAAUUUAAAGAUUGGCGAUCCGUUGGAUACCGACCGAGUUAUAGGCAAAAUUUGGUGCAAAAAUGAGGUAAAUUUUACAUUUUCUCAAACAGGGUAAGGAACUUGGUUCCUCGGAUAACUUCUGGCACAGACAUCUGAGGGCAUGGCCGUCCAAGAAGAAAAUGUAGCCAUUGGGGCCAUCUAUCGGCCACAGGUUAAAGAUUGGCGAUCCGUUGGAUACCGACCGAGUUAUAGGCAAAAUUUGGUGCAAAAAUGAGGAAAAUUUUACAUUUUCUCAAACAGGGUAAGGAACUUGGUUCCUCGGAUAACUUCUGGCACAGACAUCUGAAGGCAUGGCCGUCCAAGAAGAAAAUGUAGCCAUUGGGGCCAUCUAUCGGCCACAAGUUAAAGAUUGGCGAUCCGUUGGAUACCGACCGAGUUAUAGGCAAAAUUUGGUGCAAAAAUGAGGAAAAUUUUACAUUUUCUCAAACAGGGUAAGGAACUUGGUUCCUCGGAUAACUUCUGGCACAGACAUCUGAAGGCAUGGCCGUCCAAGAAGAAAAUGUAGCCAUUGGGGCCAUCUAUCGGCCACAAGUUAAAGAUUGGCGAUCCGUAGGAUACCGACCGAGUUAUAGGCAAAAGUUGGUGCAAAAAUGAGCCUAAUGAAAUUUUCAAAUUUAUAUAUUUUUUUAAAUUUUUUCUGAUUUUUUACUCUUUUUUUUAAUUUAAAGCAUUACUUGAGUGAAAAGAAACU